CCCGUGCGUCAAACUGCCGUCUCCGCCCACCCCAAACAAGCUCAACGGCAAGCCGCAGCUCCCGGCGCUUUGCUGGGGGCUGGAGGGGCUCAUCCCCAUGCCUGUAUCCCAGCAGGCUAAAACCUUCCCCAUCCCAGUCUUCAAGGUUGCCUGGCUCCCCACCAGACUCUUCCCACCCUUCCGUAGGACGGUGGAGAUGGAUGCGACAUCUAGACCGGGACGCUGAAUCCACCAACAGCGCACAGAAGGGGCAACCGAGUGCCCCCGCAAAGUCCUGGAGGUUUGUUGAUCCAGCAGUCUUCACCUCUGUUGUGCCUUGACCCUGUGCCUGGUGCUAGAAGCUGAGGAGAGGGAAGGAGCGGGACCCUCCCGGAACUUGUGUCUGGUGUCUGGCUGAGAGCCAGAACAUGCCACUACUUUGUUAUCCUGCCCUCCUCCAUGGAUUUCUAUAUUCCAUCAUUCUUCUCAAAUAAAACUCGGACCUGCUUUUUCCCUUUGAAUGCUGAAGGCUCCGUCUCCAAGUUCCCCUGCUGGAAGGCAUAUUAUGAAACGGGAUGUACCAUCAGAGACCAAGGACAAAGGAUGAAUAUGUUUGAAGAUUCUGAUGGUGAAGAAUAGAGAAGAAAGCAGAUUCUAGCUUUCUGGGAGAAUAGAAAGAAACAUGGAAAAUGCAAGCUCUCCAGGGACAGGUUUUCGUGCUAACAGAGGUUGCUAAUCAGUUUAACUCACCCACCUGUUUAAAUGAUGAGCACGUGACCUGGCUGAGCCAAUCAUCAUGCCACCUCUGGGGGACUGGCCAGAGAAAUCCAUGUACGAUCAACUUAAGCCAGAGCACUUGCAUUUUGAACGAAGAUUCUAAUCAAGGAUGCCUCUCAAGCACAUGAGAAUUCUCACAUGGAAGGAAUUCCACCUGGAAGGCCCAUUCUGGAGUGAGGGUAUAGACAUCAUCCUUCUUCCCACAGUUUGAAAAGGAUUGUAGUGUAGUAACAAAAUUUUUACGAAGACUAAAGAGGCAAAAAGAAGCCGAGGUGGGAGAAAUUAAAUCUCCAAGUGACAUUCAAUCACAUGUGGAGAGACAGUCAAGUCAGAACCAAGACAUCAGUGAAGUUCACGCAGUACAGGCGAAAAAUAAAGGACGGACAAAUGAACCUCACUUGUGGGCAAGAGGCAGAUCUCUUGUGGAGGAGAUGACAUAAAGAGGUGAUAUAAAGAAGAUUAACUAGGGUACUGGUGUACUAUUUAAACCUAGUCUCUGUGAGAAGGUACAACUGGGUUCUAGGCUGACAACCUGAAUUUUGGAAAGGGCAGAGCUAGAGGAGGAUCUAUGGAUGAAGCUCUUACACAGAAGGAACACAUAUCCUAACAAAGCACUUUGAGGAAAGAGACAUUUCCUAUUAUAUUCUCAUCUGUUACCUAUCUACCAGUCUUUCGGGAGGAGAUGGAUAAUCUAGAUAGAACAAGACAAUUUUCCUGGAUUUGAAAGGGCAUUUCAUCUUUUGUUUUGGUCCAGUAAUAGAAUAGUUUAUGUGGGAUGCUAGGUGGCAGAAAGGCUUAAUAUAAUCAAUAAAAGGACGUGCAAUAAAUAUUUUGAAUACUUUUUGAAUUCAACAUCAUUAAAUAUUUUCAUAAGACCAGUGUUAUGACUCUAUCUUUAAAAAUCUGUGUUAUGACUGUUUGUACACUAGGUUUUAACCAAACAACUCAAGCCAAUUCAAAAGUGAACAGUUUUCUCUCGGAAUUACAAUGCUGUGCUGGAAAAAGUUUGGAAUAAAAUUCCAAAGACUAGAGUUCCUAUUCAGACCACUAUUUAUUUCACUUAGUGAUUUUUAAGGCAAACCCCACAGACUUUGCCUCAAUAUGUUCAGUUAUAAAACAAAUAUAGAAGGACAAAUCCUAGGCUUAAUGUUUUAUAUAUAUUUUUGUAUUCAUGAUUUUAACCUGACACUGAUAUUAUUAAGCUACUAAAGGGUUUCACUGGUAUCAAACAGAACUGAAUUUUGACCUAACCACACAGUGACUGUUUGAUAUUAGGCAAGUUAAGUGACCUCUCUAAGAUUCUAUGUCUACAUCUUCUUUUGUAAAAUGAGGUUACAUAUAGUUCAUUUAUUGCUGGAUUGCUGUGAAGGUCAAAAGUAAAAAGCAUGUAAAGUGCAUUGCAGAAAGCCUGUCCAUAAUAAAAGGGAGUUAUCCUCAAGUCUCAGCCAUCCCUCGAACAAGACCCACUCUGCUUUUCUCUUUUUCCAAGGAAAAACACACGUUGUAAAAUAAGCAUUCUUCAAAGACAACCUGAAGACGUUUGGGAAUUCCAAAGGCUGAAAAUUCCAUGAGUUCAUAAAAGCUUUCACUAAUUCCACUGAUCUAAGACAAAAAGGAGAGAGUCAACCGUGUGCCCAAACUCAUUUCUGAUGAUUUCUUCCAUCCUACCCUUUCUGGCUCUCUGGGGGUGGCUGUGCCUGUAAAAAACAUUGAAGUUGUCAGGAACAGAGUCAGCUUUCAAGAUUGGAAUGUCAGAGUAGAGUCUUCUUUUCCUCAGACCAGAAAAGGCUUGGUUGGGUAAGAGUUUCCAGGUCUGAGAGGAGACAGAGCUGGGAUAUGGGAACUGAUACAGAUAAACAGCACAAACACCUUGACAGAGUGAUAUAUCAAAAGAGACUAAAAUAGGGCAGGAACAAGAUCAUGAGCAAGAUGAGAUAAGAAACCAAAGACCCAUUCUAAAAGCUCUAAUGUGUGUUGCAACCAGAGGCGGACUAUCCUACAAAGUUCCACAUUACAUACUUGCAAUGGGUAAUGGGCACUUACAAAAAGGAGAGAAGCAUUUUCCCUUUUAUGGCUAAAGUAAAAAGUAUAAGAAAUAGCUCCAUUCAGAAGUACAAAAUAUCAUCAUGUGGCUCAUAUAUUUCAGGUGAGUUAGACUGAGAUGAUUAUAUAAUGGGUUGGUUUUUCAUAGAACAAAACCUUAUUUCUAAAGGUGCCCAGAGACAAGAUGGGGACAGAUAUUAGAAGUUUCAGGUGCUGUCUUUUGUUAUAAGUAGGCCAUUAAAUAAUGUAGACUUGGACACUGAACCAAAGAAGGGCGUUCUCUUCCACACUGGAAUG